AGAUUGAACGCUGGCGGCAGGCCUAACACAUGCAAGUCGAGCGGCAGCACGGGUACUUGUACCUGGUGGCGAGCGGCGGACGGGUGAGUAAUGCCUAGGAAUCUGCCUGAUAGUGGGGGAUAACGCUCGGAAACGGACGCUAAUACCGCAUACGUCCUACGGGGGAAAGCCGGGGACCAGCAAUGGCCUGGCGCUGAUAGAUGAGCCGAUGUCGGAUUAGCUAGUUGGUGAGGUAAUGGCUCGACCAAGGCGACGAUCCGUAGCUGGUCU
rnacentral:rRNA from 1 species